rnacentral:tRNA from 1 species
GGGUAUGUAGCUUAGUGGUACAGUACAUGCUUAGCAUGCCUGAGACUCUAGGUUCUAUUCCCAGCACACACA